rnacentral:lncRNA from 1 species
AUGGAAGCCAACCCCACAGGAGGCGGUGCUGACCUAGAUAAACAUUAACACACAGAGAGGAUUUUCUAAAAACCCCAAGUGGAGGCACAGAGGAGGUCAAAGGAAAGCCAACAUCUUCCCGGCUUUGGCAGGUAUGAAUGCACAGACUCCAGUCACCACAAACAUCAAAUAUUUAUAUUAAAUGGUCCUAAAAGAGACUAAUAUGUUGUCUUUGUUUUGUCUUCCGUCAUUUGUUUUUUUUCCUUUCUGUUUUCAUAUUCUAGUCUUCUUUUGUACGGCUGUUGAAUUUCUUUAUUUAGAUGUUUGAGUUUAUUGGUCAAGUUGUCUGUUCACACCAAAGUUCCAUAUGUUUACCACAUGCAAUAUGUAUAUAUAUUCCGCAAUGUUUCACUCUAAAAUGCCGGGUCUACCGUGUUUUUGCAGGCACAUGCAGAAAAGGUACACUGAAGAAAUGAUUCUUUUAGAGUUAACGGAAAAGAAGGUCCAAUGGUUUCUUUACCAGGAUUCCCUCAAGGCAAAGACACCAAGACCACAGAGAUACUUAAAUCUCUGGUGUCAGCACACACAGAUAUGGCGACACACUGAGAGGCGCACGGGCUUCAGGAGAAGUAAUGGGACAAGCAUGCAUCUCCUCUGGCAAGAACAAACUCCCUGACUGCUUUCAUUUGCUUUAUUUUCAAGCUCCUUUCUGAAAUGCUGAAAGAUUUGUUUUGUAAAUCAAAUCAUGCUACAAGGGUUGGACUGUUACAUUCUUUGUAUCCCUUUUAUCCAACAUUAAAUGCAACAACUUCAUAAAUGUCUGUUCUAGGGUCCCAUUUCAAUGGCUAAUAAAUACAUUUAUUAACCAAAAAAUAAGUCAUUUUAGAAUGCACUAUCGUGCCGCUUCAAAGCUAUUAUACAUCUUGUGAACUUUUGCAUCAGCGUAAAGUCCAAUAAUUGUAUUUAUUGAUGACCUGUCCUUUUGGGAUCCUCCCAAUUCCUCCUUACAGACCAUUUAACCAGUUUCACCUGCUGACUUUGACCACAUGGUUGCUGUCUGUUGAUUGGUACACUGUUUAGAGGUUGAACACAGUCAUUGUCAGUAAUUAAUCCAAAAAGUCUUGAUUUAAUAUUGAUUUAAUCCCAUAUGCCAGUUCAACAUAGUCUGAUUUAAGUGUGCCGGGCAGAACUUUAUGAGAACGGGUACAACGUCACCAGAAUCCAGGGCACUGAUUGGCCGGAAAGCCACAUCAGAAGAUGGACCUUAUUUGGAAACAGAAGCUGCAGAUAUUUCCCCUUCUGGGGUUCCUGUUGACUCUAAGAACACUGGACCCCUCAUCCCUGGCAUUCCAAACAGGAAGUACUAGCAGGGUCCACAAAGCCAAAAUCCCAUAGUCUUCUAUAGAGAAAUGCCAUCUUUUUUUAGAAUGUUCCUGGCCAAUCCUAUUUUUUUGUCUUUAGUAUUUUCUUUGGUGCAUGUUAUUCAAGUAAUAAACUGACUAAUCAGAUGGCUCCAUAUGUCUGCUAGCCACCAUGUCCAACAUUCAGAAUGUUUGACAGAUUUCUUGUUGCCCACAUUCAAGUGGAAGAGGUGUAGACUUCUAACUUCUAACGAGCUCAUUCCUGCUUGGUGAGAGUGGUUACCAUAGAAACAUUGACUCAGACCAACAACAAAGGCGACUGAAAUGUCUUUAUUUCGGAAAGAAGUCAUUUUUCAUGGGUGGCGUCACUCACUCGCUCCAGUUCUUGUAUACAGUCAUUGCCGGUUCCCCCUUUUUAAAAUGAGUCUAAAGAUGGAGCAGCAGAACUUCUUUUGCAUUGGUGCUCUCCAUUGUGGGGACAUAAAAACAUCCAGGAGUAAGAAAACAUCCUGAGUUUUGGGCAGCCUCACAACAACCAAGCCUCCCUACUAUGAGUCUGGAUUCCAGGGUAAAUUAAAUUCAACUCAAAUCCAGGUGUAUCGCGGCAUGAUGAGCAAACCUUUCUAAUGAAAAUGUGGCUUUAGAGAUCAGAUUAAGGAAAUCAACCUGGCUGCAUGCUGUUUCACCAGCUUAAGGCUAAGAUAAUCAAACUUGUUGGUUUGGAAGGCUGGAGCAGCUGCUGGAAAAUAAUUGAAAACUAAUUUAUAUAUUUUUGUAACAAUUGUAUAUCACAUCACACAGCUGAAAUGAAAAGAUAAAAUAGAUAUUUUACAAAUUGGGUCAUGAAAGGGAUAAAAACGCUGCAAAACAUUAAAUUACUGCAAAAGUUUGCAUGCUAGUUUUCUUAUUCCAAACCAAAUCAUCAAGAGAGGAUAUCAUAAGUCUUUUUUUGAAAACUCCUUGGUGUUGCCAUUCAUAAAAAGCAAGUCUACUUUCUACAAACCCUGUGGGCAAGGUCUUGUGAAAUCCAGGAUUAACACCUGAAGGAAGUCUUUCUAGUGAAACCACAUAAGCUUAUGAAUCCUGCAUAUUUAACAAGUAAAAGCUUGUUUCUCUUUACCGGAAUGACAUCAUUGCUGAACUCCAAUCCACAUCUUACAGUUCCUGUUUCACCCCCAAGGAAAGCUGGUUAAACAUUUAGCUUGAGCCACAAAUUACAUAGAAAUAUUUCAGCAAUGCAGAUGUGUUUCAUUCUGUUGACCCUGGCAGCAGAGACUUUGGACUGCAUGUGCUGAUCCAGCCCCGUUAAAAUCUUGGUGCAGAAUUUGCUGCCAGCCUGUGAUGCAAACACAGAGUGUUUACCAAGUAAUGGUGGCCUCUGGAAUUUCUGUUCAGCCGGCAGGAGGGGGAUCCAUCAGUCACUGUUGCUCAUGGUGAUGCAGUUCCAUAUAGUGUCAUGUUUUGCCAUGCACAACAUAUUAAGCCUGUUAUUCUCUAAGAGAAUUAACAGUCAGAUAUAAGUGGGUGAGGCAGACUAAAAGGAUGACUAAGAUGAGUUGCAAGAAGUCGAUGGACUGCUCCUUCUUUUACCAAACUUAGAGCCCCAUUCCAAGGAAAAUGCUGAGAUUUGGUGAAAAUUUUCUGAUGAUGGAGGACAUUUAUAAAGAAAAUUAGGCUCAAAAUUACAUUUGAGUUUUUCUUUAUUGUGAUUGUAAAUCAGAAAAACUGGCAUUUGAAAAAGGGCGUGUUUUUGACACUGAAAACACGCUGGGCAGUUCCUCCGCCCUUCCCAACAAUUAUGGGAAGGUCAGGUGGGGUUGUGCAGCACCAGUGGUCCCACUCACAAAAAAGACCAAGAUUUCUACUGCCACUCUGCAGAAACUACGUCUUAGGAAACAACAGUUUUUAUUUUUAAUUGUGGCUAAAAACAGUCUGAUCUUAACUAAGAAACCAACUAGCACACCUUGAAAAGGGCUUAAAAGAUGAUCAGAGUGGAUUUUUAAGCAUCUUUAUUUUUCUCAUUUGGUUCUGCUGAUGGAUGAGAAGUGGUAGGUAACUUGCCAGAACCUCAUGGCUUUACCAAAAAAGCAAUGAGAAUAACUUUGACAGGAACAAAAGGUCUAACAAAACCAAAAUAUUCUUGGUGUGAGACAUUUUCGUGUUUCAGUCUCAUAUUCAUGUAGAAAAUGUACGAGGGGGAAGCUGUGCAGGGGUACGGUGGUCAACCUUGGAAAAAAGCCAGUUUGGUUCUUCCUCUACAUGCCUAUGUGUUCUGUUGGGAAAGACACUGAACCCCACUUUGGUCCUGAGGGUCUGGGUACUGUUGCUGCACGGCAACUCUGCCACCACCAGUGUUUGGAUGUGUGUAAAUGGGACUGUGACUGCAAAACGCUUUAGGCCUUGAAGAAGGUAAAAAAACUGUUAUGUAAAUGUAAAUUUAUGCCAUUUAUCUUCUUUUUUUUCAUGGGGAGAGGAAAUACUUUUCUGCCAGGCAACACUGUGUUGAAGCGAGCUAUUUGGCAUGAUUCUGAAAAAAGUGAUAAAUAUCUUUAAAUGCAUCUACAUGACAUGAAAAUUUGCUGUUUUGUAAUUAUUAUAUUAUUAUUAUGUUUGUUUUUUACUGAUGAAAUUUCACAGCAAAUUGACGACAAUGUGGUUGUGUCUUGUAAUUUUUCUGACUGUAUAGUCGCCAACUACACCAAAAAUGGCUCGUCUGGGUAUGUUUUUAGAAACAUACCCUGUAGUACCAGAGAUGUCGCUGAUGACACCGAAAUAACAUGCUCUGUGACAUACAGUACCGUAACUCUUUGACCUUUGACUUGAACAAUGGGAAUCCGCUGACUCUGACACAGAGAAAAGCGGCAAUUCAUAUCAACUUGGCACUGAUCUGCAACACUUUACAUUACCGAUGUUUAAGUUAGUUGCAUAACGGCACAAGGCUGCUUUUCUCCACUUUGGAAUCCGCUGGAGUUGUGUUGUGUAAAAGGUUGAAGAGUUAUGGUAGUCGAAAGAAUGACAGAAGGUCCAGUGUUGAAGGGUUAAACCACAGGCAUAGAGUCAAAAGUCUAGUAUUCUGUGGUUUGAACAGAAUUGUCUAUUGUAAAUGGUAUUGAAUGCAUUUCUGAAGCAGCAGUGAACCCUUUUUGGAUUUGAUUCCCCUUGUUUCUCAUUUUUGUGGAGUUGUAGCCCGAUGAAGUGAGUGAAGACACAAAUGAUACUGUCAACAAGACAGGCGCUGAAGUCUUUUGUUUAUAGGAUUCGAGCACACAGAUCGGAUCAGGACAGUUUAGCUCAAUUUAAUUAAAUAGAAUCAGAGAUGUUUCUCCUUCUGUUGUUUUGCCUCCUGUGUGUUAUUCAAAAUCCAGCGUCUGCAACAUAACACGG